rnacentral:rRNA from 1 species
UACAGAGGGUGCGAGCGUUAAUCGGAAUUACUGGGCGUAAAGCGUGCGUAGACGGUUAUGUAAGUCAGGUGUGAAAUCCCCGGGCUCAACCCGGGAACUGCGUCCGAUACUGGCGGGCUUGAAUCCGGGAGAGGGAUGCGGAAUUCCAGGUGUAGCGGUGAAAUGCGUAGAUAUCUGGAGGAACACCGGUGGCGAAGGCGGCAUCCUGGACCGGCAUUGACGCUGAGGCGCGAAAGCCAGGGGAGCAAACGGG